rnacentral:rRNA from 1 species
AUACGGAGGGGGCUAGCGUUGUUCGGAAUUACUGGGCGUAAAGGGCGCGUAGGCGGACUAUCAAGUCAGGGGUGAAAGGCCUGGGCUCAACCCGGGAACUGCCUUUGAAACUGAAAGUCUAGAGUCCGAGAGAGGAUAGCGGAAUUCCCAGUGUAGAGGUGAAAUUCGUAGAUAUUGGGAAGAACACCAGUGGCGAAGGCGGCUAUCUGGCUCGGUACUGACGCUGAGGCGCGAAAGCGUGGGGAGCAAACAGGAUUAGAUACCCCGGUAGUCC